rnacentral:rRNA from 1 species
UACGAAGGGGGCUAGCGUUGCUCGGAAUCACUGGGCGUAAAGCGCACGUAGGCGGCUUUUUAAGUCAGGGGUGAAAUCCUGGAGCUCAACUCCAGAACUGCCUUUGAUACUGAGAGCUUGAGUCCGGGAGAGGUGAGUGGAACUGCGAGUGUAGAGGUGAAAUUCGUAGAUAUUCGCAAGAACACCAGUGGCGAAGGCGGCUCACUGGCCCGGUACUGACGCUGAGGUGCGAAAGCGUGGGGAGCAAAGCA